rnacentral:rRNA from 1 species
AUGGAUUUUUUGUUUCUUUACUGGCUUCAUAUAAUUCUGAAAACACAAGUUUUCUUGAAGCCUCUUGCUCAUAUCUCUCAUCAAAGGGUGCUAUUAUAUAAUCUUUCAAAUAUUUGUCCCACAUUCAUUCGGGAGGGUACUCCUAAGGGAUUGAAGACCAUAUCAACGGGUGUUCCAUCUUGCAAAUAG